rnacentral:SRP_RNA from 3 species
AAUGGGGGCUCUGUUGGUUCUCCCGCAACGCUACUCUGUUUACCAGGUCAGGUCCGGAAGGAAGCAGCCAAGGCAGAUGACGCGUGUGCCGGGAUGUAGCUGGCAGGGCCCCCA